GAUGAACGCUGGCGGCGUGCCUAAUACAUGCAAGUCGAGCGAACAGACGAGGAGCUUGCUCCUCUGACGUUAGCGGCGGACGGGUGAGUAACACGUGGAUAACCUACCUAUAAGACUGGGAUAACUUCGGGAAACCGGAGCUAAUACCGGAUAAUAUAUUGAACCGCAUGGUUCAAUAGUGAAAGACGGCUUUUCUGUCUCUUAUAGAUGGAUCCGCGCCGCAUUAGCUAGUUGGUAAGGUAACGGCUUACCAAGGCAACGAUGCGUAGCCGACCUGAGAGGGUGAUCGGCCACACGGGAACUGAGACGCGGUCCAGACUCCUACGGGAGGCAGCAGUAGGGAAUCUUCCGCAAUGGGCGAAAGCCUGACGGAGCAACGCCGCGUGAGUGAUGAAGGUCUUCGGAUCGUAAAACUCUGUUAUUAGGGAAGAACAAAUGUGUAAGUAACUAUGCACGUCUUGACGGUACCUAAUCAGAAAGCCACGGCUAACUACGUG
rnacentral:rRNA from 1 species